rnacentral:rRNA from 1 species
AAACCUGAGAAACCCGAAAGAUCGAAUGGGGAGAUUCAUCGUCAGCGAUUCUGGUACGUGUGCGGUUCGCGAUGCCGCGAGACCACGGUCACGUGGCACGCGUUCGCAUGUUUUCUAUUGCCCGAAUCGUCGGCGUGCACUUCUCCCCUAGUAGGACGUCGCGACCCGUUGGGUGUCGGUCUACGGCGCGGGCGGUAGCCUGUCUUGUGUGCGCCCCACGGCGUUACGCGGGGCAGACCCUCGCGUUCCCGGCCGACUGCUCGGCGGUACUCGCACGGUAUCUGGCCGCAAAUAUUCGAACUGCGUCCGGCCCGUCGCAAGCUUGGCAAGUGUUUCCCGGCUGUACGGAUCUAAUGCCGUCACCGGGCCUUGCUGGCUGUUGGUUGACGGUGUCCUGGGACUGGCUGUUGGAUACCGGUCGGCGACGCUACUGCUUUGGGUACUUUCAGGACCCGUCUUGAAACACGGACCAAGGAGUCUAACAUGUGCGCGAGUCAUUGGGAUCUCGUAUAAAGCCUAAAGGCGCAAUGAAAGUGAAGGUCGGCCCCGCGCCGACCGAGGGAGGAUGGACCGCGUCACGAUGCGAUCUCGCACUCCCGGGGCGUCUCGAUCUCAU